AUUGGGGAGCGGAAAUGAGGCCAAAAUGAGGGGGAAUUGGGGGAAAAUUGGGGGGUUGGGGAGCAGAAAUGAGGCCAAAAUGAGGGGGAAUGAGCCCAAAAUGAUGUCCAAACCCCAAAAGGAUGGAAUAGGACCCCCAAAUUGAGGUCCGACCUCCAAAAGGAGGGCACAGGACCCCCAAAAUGAGGUCCAGGUCUACCAAUCUCCCAAAAAGAGGGAACAGGACCCCCAAAUUGAGGUCCAGGACCCCCAAAAACCCCAAAAGGAGGGCGCAGGACCCCCAAACUGAGGUCCGACCCCUAGAUGGAGGACACAGGACCCCCAAAUGAGGUCCACGUCUGCCAAUCCCCCAAAAAGAGGGGACAGAACCCCCAAAUUGAGGUCCAGGACCCCCCAAAAACCCCAAAUGGAAGGGACAGGAUCCCUGAAAUGACGUCCAACCCCCAAAAGGAUGUAAUAGGACCCCCAAAUUGAGGUCCGACCCCCAAAAGGAGGACACAGAACCCCACAAAAUGAGGUCCAGGACCCCCCAAAAACCCCAAAAGGAGGGCACUGGACCCCCAAAUUGAGGUCCAAGAGCCCCAAAAUGAGGUCCGACCCCCAGAUGGAGGACACAGGACCCCCACCAUGAACUCCAGGAGGUACAAAGCCCCCAAAAGGAGGGCACAGGACCCCCAAAUGAGGUCCAGGUCUGCCAAUCCCCCCAGAAGAGGGGACAGAACCCCCAAAUUGAGCUCCAGGACCCCCGAAAACCCCAAAUGGAAGGGACAGGACCCCCAAAAUGAGGUCCAGGACAUACAAAACCCCCAAAAUGAAGGCACAGGACCCCCCAAAUUGAGGUCCAACCCCUAGAUGGAGGACACAGGACCCCCACCAUGAACUCCAGGAGGUACAAAGCCCCCAAAAGGAGGGCACAGGAUCCCCAAAUUGAGGUCCACGACCCCCAAAAACCGCAGAUGGAAGGGACAGGACCCCCAAAAUGAUGUCCAACCCCCAAAAGGAUAGAAUAGGACCCCCAAAUUGAGGUCCUACCCCCNNNNNNNNNNNNNNNNNNNNNNNNNNNNNNNNNNNNNNNNNNNNNNNNNNNNNNNNNNNNNNCCCCCGAAAACCCCAAAAGGAGGGCACAGGACCCCCAAAUAGAGGUCUGACCCCAAAAAGGAGGACACAGGACCCCGAAAAUGAGGUCCAGGUCUACCAAUCCCCCGAAAGGAGGGCACAGGACCCCCGAAAUGAGGCCCAGGUCCCCCCCCAGCCCCCCAGCAGGGUCUCACCGUAGCCCUGGCCGCGGUUGCGGUUCUGGCGGUUGCGUUUGUUGCGGUUGUUGCGGCGGUUGGCUCGUUUUUCGGAGGGUGGAAGGAGUUUCCUGGCCUCCUCUUUGUAUUUGGUGACCAAGGGCUGGGCUUCUUCCUUG
rnacentral:lncRNA from 1 species